rnacentral:rRNA from 1 species
UACUGAGGGUGCAAGCGUUAAUCGGAAUUACUGGGCGUAAAGCGCACGUAGGUGGUUUGUUAAGCUAGAUGUGAAAGCCCCGGGCUCAACCUGGGAAUUGCAUUUAGAACUGGCAAGCUAGAGUAGGGUAGAGGGGUGUGGAAUUCCAGGUGUAGCGGUGAAAUGCGUAGAGAUGUGGAGGAAUACCGAUGGCGAAGGCAGCCCCCUGGGAUAAUACUGACGCUCAGGCACGAAAGCGUGGGGAGCAAACAGG